rnacentral:rRNA from 1 species
UUGGAGGGCAAGUCUGGUGCCAGCAGCCGCGGUAAUUCCAGCUCCAAUAGCGUAUAUUAAAGUUGUUGCAGUUAAAAAGCUCGUAGUUGAACUUCGGGGUUUACCCAUUGGUCAGGCUUAAUUGUCUGUACUGGUGAGAUGAAUCUCUACCUUCUGAGGAACUUUCAUGCCAUUUAUUUGGUGUGAUGGGAAAUCAGGACUGUUACUUUGAAAAAAUUAGAGUGUUUAAAGCAGGCUAACGUCUGAAUACAUUAGCAUGGAAUAAUAAAUUAGGACGGUGGUCCUGUUUUGUUGGUUUCUGAAUCACCGUAAUGAUUAAUAGGGAUAGUUGGGGGCAUUAGUAUUCAAUUGUCAGAGGUGAAAUUCUUGGAUUUAUUGAAGACUAACUUCUGCGAAAGCAUUUGCCAAGGAUGUUUUCAUUAAUCAAGAACGAAAGUUAGGGGAUCGAAGACGAUCAGAUACCGUCGUAGUCUUAACCAUAAACUAUGCCGACUAGGGAUCGGACGAUGUUAAUUUUUUAAUGACUCGUUCGGCGCCUUACGGGAAAC